GAGGAGCAGGCGGCCCCCAGGCUGACUCGGUUUAGGACUCCCUAUAGGGAAUCAUCCUACGUAAAGCUGCCUGGCAGUCUGCAGCUCCUGGGAGCAUUUCACCACAGAGGGCUUCAACAGCGACCACGGGAGUCGGUUCCACAGUCCUGGAAGGACAGUCAGAGCCACCUUAGCCCUAACUGACAUGCCCUGUAAAGCCUGGCCCAAGGUCGGCCGAGAGCACCACACCAGGCCCGGCCUCUGUGCUCUGGGUGCCUCCAAGGCAGGCCUCUUCUGGAUCACUUCCUCCUCCAGCCACCCAGGGAGCUCAAGCUCCCUCCUGAGGGACCCUUAAGACACCUCUCCUGUCCAGGAGUUGGAUGGGAUGCUCUGAGAAGCCUGGGACGUCCAUCCAACCCUUCCCCGACGCCUGCUCGCCCCAGAAUUGCCUGAUCUGACUGUGGAUCCAGGAAAUGCGGCACAACCCUAACAAGGAGAGUAAAUGAGCAGAGCUUCCAGUGAGGGCCCGGGAGGACGGGGCUUCCAGCGAGGGGACCCGGAGGAGGACCGGAGGCGAGCUUCCAGCGAGGGCCCGGGGCGGAGGACGGGGGCGCUUCCCAGCGAGGGCCCCGCGAAUCAGGAGGGGAC
rnacentral:lncRNA from 1 species